UACAGAGGUCUCAAGCGUUGUUCGGAUUCAUUGGGCGUAAAGGGUGCGCAGGCGGCGCGGUAAGUCGGGUGUGAAAUCUCGGAGCUUAACUCCGAAACUGCAUUCGAUACUGCCGUGCUUGAGGACUGGAGAGGAGACUGGAAUUUACGGUGUAGCGGUGAAAUGCGUAGAUAUCGUAAGGAAGACCAGUGGCGAAGGCGGGUCUCUGGACAGUUCCUGACGCUGAGGCACGAAGGUCAGGGGGAGCAAACGGG
rnacentral:rRNA from 1 species